UUUUCUUUUUCCAUUUAAUGUAAACACUUGAGUAAUAAUUAAUUUCUUUCGUUUAAUUUUAAUCAAAUUAAUUAACUCCAAUCAAGUGGAAAUUAUGGAUGGUCGAAUAAUUAAAGAUCUAUGUUUUGUAUGGAACAAAAAGAAAAGGUGGAAAUUAAUUAAUCCAUUGGUUUGUCGUCAUCAAUUAUCAAUGAUUUUCUUUGGUCUCUCGUUGAUCUGGUGAUAUGUUUCUCUUUUUCUCUAGUAUAACUGAUGAUUUUCAUUUUCUCGCCUUCUUCUUGGCAGAGUUGUUGGUGGAAAAUAAAUUCUCUCCAUCUCUUGUCAGCAAAAAAAGAAAACCAGGAAAAGAGAAACAUCAUCACCCGUGAUCAUUUAUUACUUAUCUAUUAAUAUCUAUCAAAUUUAGCUGAUUGGUGUGAUUUCCAUCAAGAAUAACAUAUGAAACAAUUUGGUGUACUAACUCAGAGAGCAGUUAAAGAAAACUAACCAAGAAUGUGUCGAUCAUAGUCAAGGAUUACCUGAUGAAAUUAAGAUCAAUUGGAAAAGUACUUACAAUUAAACUCUCAUUAACUGUACAAAGGAAUCACUAAUCAGGAAAGAGCUUGGAUAUUUCUGAUGAUUUGAUUUGCAUUUGAUUUGAUUUAAUUGAUACCAACCUUUGAAAAAACUGUAAUCCGAUUGGAAAAGCGUGGCAAUUUAAUUUGAUCAAUAAUCACAAUGUGAAAAAAAGGAGAGAGAAAUUAACAAAAACUUAGGAACAACAAUUAACAAAAUAGACAAGCCAAUAGAUGAACAAUUGAUUGUGGGCAGUUAAACAAGUUGAAUUCAGAUUAAUGUGGUGAACUUUACAAACACAUACAAAAAACUCAAGUUGAUUAUUAUAAUGAUAAUAUUUGGUCAACAAUUAAGGAAAAUCAGUUAACUGGAAGACAAAGACAAAAGAUAACCAAUGAUGGAGUUACAAAAUGCAACAACUGAAUUAAGUGAUCAACAAUGAAAAGGAAUCAAAAAACUUAAUGAAAGGCAAAAAUGUAACAAUCUAAUCAAUGAUAAAACAUAAACACACACA